rnacentral:rRNA from 1 species
AUUGAACGCUGGCGGCAGGCCUAACACAUGCAAGUCGAGCGGAUGAAGGGAGCUUGCUCCUGGAUUCAGCGGCGGACGGGUGAGUAAUGCCUAGGAAUCUGCCUGGUAGUGGGGGAUAACGUCCGGAAACGGGCGCUAAUACCGCAUACGUCCUGAGGGAGAAAGUGGGGGAUCUUCGGACCUCACGCUAUCAGAUGAGCCUAGGUCGGAUUAGCUAGUUGGUGGGGUAAAGGCCUACCAAGGCGACGAUCCGUAACUGGUCUGAGAGGAUGAUCAGUCACACUGGAACUGAGACACGGUCCAGACUCCUACGGGAGGCAGCAGUGGGGAAUAUUGGACGAUGGGCGAAAGCCUGAUCCAGCCAUGCCGCGUGUGUGAAGAAGGUCUUCGGAUUGUAAAGCACUUUAAGUUGGGAGGAAGGGCAGUAAGUUAUUACCCUGCUGUUUUGACGUUACCAACAGAAUAAGCACCGGCUAACUUCGUG